UACGGGGGGAGCAAGCGUUGUUCGGAUUUACUGGGCGUAAAGGGCGCGUAGGCGGUCAGCACAUGUCAGUUGUGAAAUCUCCGGGCUUAACCCGGAAAGGUCAACUGAUACUGUGCGACUAGAGUGCGGAAGGGGCAACUGGAAUUCUCGGUGUAGCGGUGAAAUGCGUAGAUAUCGAGAGGAACACCUGCGGCGAAGGCGGGUUGCUGGGCCGACACUGACGCUGAUGCGCGAAAGCCAGGGGAGCGAACGGG
rnacentral:rRNA from 1 species